CAAGGUAUAACUAGUGCAGUUUUUCAAUUGCAACGGAAAUUUAAUGAAAUUUUUGCACAAUCAAGAAUCGAAAACGAAGCAAAAACUGUAAUUAACUGACGGCAGUCGAGUGCAUUUAGUUGGGGUCCAGCAGCAUUUAGAGAGUGGCGAGGGAAAGACAUCGUGGCUCACAUUCACAAUCCGGCACAAUGCGCUACAAUUAGGGGUAGCUGAAGAGGAAUGGGAAGGGGAAAGGGAAUGACGACUGCUGCUGCUGUCGAGAGUGAUAAAUAUUUUGCGCCUGAAUGACAGGCCAUAAAGAGCGAGAACUCUAUUGAUAAUGCUGCGUGGUUCAAUCAGACUUGUAACAGUGAUUAACAGGACGCAUCCUUUGAGUGGCCAACUGACUGUACUGCACAACAACAGCAACAACAACAACUACGACAACUGCAACAACUGCAACUGCAAGUGACAGCUGUCGGAUUUGGUGUAAGCAUCGUUUAUUUGCGACUUACAUAGAUUGUAGUGCUUCGUCGGGCCCCUUUUGAUUGAUGAUGACUCGAGCAAGCGCUUUUGACAUGUUGUCCAGUUGCCAUUUCGGCUGACAACAGCCACCCUUGCGUUCGCUUUCCAACACUGACAAAUACUGUAAAGGGUUACAAUGCCAAAGUCAAUACCGCGAUUCAACAGCUUAUGAAAUUACCAUACAGCCAUCGCCAUUGCCCAUUCACCGAUUCGCCCUUAGGCUGGCUACGUCCUCUUUUGAGCGGUCUACCACCCCGAAAAGAAGAAACAGGCGAAAGUGGGCGUUGUAAUGUUGACACUGUAAUUUACGCAUUUCUCCUUUUAUGCGACACGCCAAAUUUGCAUAACGCAUCCAGCUUCAAUAGCGAAAGGGCUGUCGCAUCGUAACUCGAUAUGCGAGCAGACUGCAUAUUACCUUUGUUACUACAAUAGCUCAGAAAUUAAAUGCUUUUCACAUACCUUUAU